UCUUCUCACUGAGCCAGCCAACCAGCCCUGAACUAUAGGUUGAGCAAUCAUCUACCCAGGUCAAGUCCUUCAGCUGGUCACCGGGCAGGCUCAGGUGGACUCAGGAAGGUAUCUGAAGAGUGGGCAGCAAGGAGUGGAGACAUGCUUUCCCACUUAACAUGCUCAUCGUGGUCUCCACAAAGGGCACUCCCUGGAGUUGGCAGUGCCCGCUUCAACCUGACCUGUUGGGAAUGGCACCAGCCACUCUGGACCAGAGGCCAUCUGGAGGCACCGAGCUUGCCCCUUCCACUUCUGCGCCAGUCACAUUCACUGCGUGGGUCUCCUUGGAUCCUGACAUUGAAACUGAUUUUUUUGUCUUUUACUCUAAGUCUAGAGCUCAGAUUUCUUACAGAGGAAGAAGAGUCACACAGGAUCCUAGAGAGGAUCCCCUCCCCACAGCCCCAGCCUGUGCUUAAUUAAGUGAGUGGCUUAAGGGACUUGCCUCCUCUUCAAGAUUAAGAGAAUUUCCCCAGUUCCAUCUCUUGGAAAGCUCACGUUCACGCAAGAUUCUCAUCAAAUGCCAGCUGCUCCCAUAAAACCAGGCUGCAGUAUCCAACCAGCUCUCCUGGAGUCAGUCUGCGAACAAAGAAUCUGGAGAGGGUCACGUCUGGCCCAAACCGCACAACACUCUGUGCCUGUCUGAUUUAUCUCAUCUGUGGGUAUUUGCACCCAGCCUCUUUUCACCCAUUGUG